GACGAACGCUGGCGGCGUGCUUAACACAUGCAAGUCGAACGGAAAGGCCCUUCGGGGUACUCGAGUGGCGAACGGGUGAGUAACACGUGGGUGAUCUGCCCUGCACUUUGGGAUAAGCCUGGGAAACUGGGUCUAAUACCGAAUAGGACCACGCGCUUCAUGGUGUGUGGUGGAAAGCUUUUGCGGUGUGGGAUGGGCCCGCGGCCUAUCAGCUUGUUGGUGGGGUAAUGGCCUACCAAGGCGACGACGGGUAGCCGGCCUGAGAGGGUGACCGGCCACACUGGGACUGAGAUACGGACCAGACUCCUACGGGAGGCAGCAGUGGGGAAUAUUGCACAAUGGGCGCAAGCCUGAUGCAGCGACGCCGCGUGAGGGAUGACGGCCUUCGGGUUGUAAACCUCUUUCAAUAGGGACGAAGCGCAAGUGACGGUACCUAUAGAAGAAGCACCGGCCAACUACGUG
rnacentral:rRNA from 1 species